ACCAAAUGGGCGGGUAAAAAUAAGUGGAAUACCGUUAUGCAAGAUAUGCUGGCUGAAAAGAACAUUAUUAGACUUUCAUGUCACAGUAGAUACCUCAAACAAUGAGUUAAGAACUGUAUUGAGAAGCCUCAUAGUUUCAUAGGUGAGAAGAAGGAAACAUGCUGGGAGGCCACACAGAAGGUGGUGAAAUCAAUGUUCUAUGUAAGCCAAGGGGAGCCUAUUGAUGAAGUCUUCUUGCUCCUGCUACGGGAAUCAUUGCACUCUCAGGCUUUCAUUCUGCAACAACAACAACAAAUGAGGAGCAGGCUCAAUAGAUUUUUUUGCCUCAGACUUCACUGGCCACCUCUCUUCCCAAAUCUCUCAAGUGGAUGGACAGAAAGAUGAUGACUGGGGUGGCAGAGUUCCUCUGACUCUGCAGUGCUGCAUCCAGGCAUGCCCAGCACAAGGAGGACAAGGACCUGUUGGGAUGAAUCCAGAGGAGGAACACCAAGGCUACAGUAGCAAAGCGAAAAUAUCAGGAGCGAAGGUGUGCACUGGGCACCCUCUCCAAAAGAAAACAGCAGAACUCUACCUCAGCCUCUGGGAAAACUCUUUAAACCACAAUGUAGUAUCACUUGUUGGAGCAUAUAAUCUGCUGAGACGAGAGUUCAACUCUCAUCCUAUGUACACAGGAUAAAA